GGAGUAAAAGUCGUAACAAGGUUUCCGUAGGUGAACCUGCGGAAGGAUCAUUAUUGAAUGAAACACUUCUGGCUUUAUGCUGUUGUGCUGGCCCUUUGGGCAAUGUGCACACGGCUCUGGUCACUUGUUUCUUCUGUUCCACCUGUGCACUGCCUGUAGACACGCUGUGUCUAUGAUAUUUGUUAACACACAACAAUGUUGGUUGGCAUGUUAUAUAUAAUAAUAAAAUAUACAACUUUCAACAACGGAUCUCUUGGCUCUC
rnacentral:misc_RNA from 1 species